rnacentral:rRNA from 1 species
UACGUAGGGUGCGAGCGUUAAUCGGAAUUACUGGGCGUAAAGCGUGCGCAGGCGGCUUGCCAAGUCAGAUGUGAAAGCCCCGGGCUCAACCCGGGAACGGCGUUUGAAACUGGCAGGCUAGAGUUUGGCAGAGGGGGGUGGAAUUCCACGUGUAGCAGUGAAAUGCGUAGAGAUGUGGAGGAACACCGAUGGCGAAGGCAGCCCCCUGGGCCAAAACUGACGCUCAGGCACGGAAGCGUGGGGAGCAAACAGG